rnacentral:rRNA from 1 species
UACGAACUGUGCGAACGUUAUUCGGAAUCACUGGGCUUAAAGGGUGCGUAGGCGGCUGUUUAAGUAGGGUGUGAAAGCCCCCGGCUCAACCGGGGAAUUGCGCCCUAAACUGGACAGCUUGAGUGAGGUAGGGGUGUACGGAACUUCCGGUGGAGCGGUGAAAUGUGUUGAUAUCGGAAGGAACGCCGGUAGCGAAAGCGGUACACUGGGUCUCAACUGACGCUGAGGCACGAAAGCCAGGGGAGCGAAC